rnacentral:rRNA from 2 species
UACGAAGGGUGCAAGCAUUAAUCGGAUUUAUUGGGCGUAAAGGGCGCGUAGGCGGGGAAGUAAGUCAGAUGUGAAAUCCCGGGGCUCAACCCCGGAACUGCAUUUGAAACUACUUUUCUUGAGGGUAGAAGGAGAAAACGGAAUUCCACAAGUAGCGGUGAAAUGCGUAGAUAUGUGGAAGAACACCGGUGGCGAAGGCGGUUUUCUAUUUUAUUCCUGACGCUAAGGCGCGAAAGCUAGGGGAGCAAACAGG